rnacentral:rRNA from 1 species
CCUACGGGUGGCAGCAGUGGGGAAUAUUGGACAAUGGGCGAAAGCCUGAUCCAGCCAUGCCGCGUGUGUGAAGAAGGCCUUCGGGUUGUAAAGCACUUUCAGUGGGGAAGAAAGCCUUGGGGCUAAUACCCUCGAGGAAGGACAUCACCCACAGAAGAAGCACCGGCUAACUCCGUGCCAGCAGCCGCGGUAUUACGGAGGGUGCGAGCGUUAAUCGGAAUUACUGGGCGUAAAGCGCGCGUAGGCGGUCUGAUAAGCCGGUUGUGAAAGCCCCGGGCGCAACCUGGGAACGGCAUCCGGAACUGUCAGGCUAGAGUGCAGGAGAGGAAGGUAGAAUUCCCGGUGUAGCGGUGAAAUGCGUAGAGAUCGGGAGGAAUACCAGUGGCGAAGGCGGCCUUCUGGACUGACACUGACGCUGAGGUGCGAAAGCGUGGGUAGCAAACAGGAUUAGAUACCCGUGUAGUC